AGCAACUCCUAAAAUCCAAUCAUCAUGAGCGUGGCAAACCUUAUUCACCUUUGCGUGAUUACUUUAAGCUUGCUAGGCUGUCACCCAACCCAACCCUAUUGUCAAAUACCUCCUAAUAAAUAGACCAAAUUUGUAUAAUACUGUUAGUCAUUUCAAAUAAAACCCAUAUCAAACGACCUUUUGUUUAUUAGUGUCAUUACAAUUAUUUUUUAUAGUAAGUAGAACUGGGAUUUUUGAAGCGCGAAUUAGUGUGUUAGCGGGUUCAAGCCCACGGUCGAUUUGGCUCGGUGGGCUCUUGGCAUUUGAUCAAUGUCAAGGCCUGAUCACUUCAUCGGACCGUAACUACGCUGAAUCUCGGUAACCCCUCUGCUACCGCCAUCCAUCCUGACCAACAAUAGUGGACACAAAGAAAUAGUGAACAAAAUAUAAAUAAAUA